UACGUAGGGACCGAGCGUUGUCCGGAAUCAUUGGGCGUAAAGAGCUCGUAGGCGGUGUGUCGCGUCGGCCGUGAAAACCUGUAGCUUAACUGUGGGCUUGCGGUCGAUACGGGCAUCACUGGAGUUCGGCAGGGGAGACUGGAAUUCCUGGUGUAGCGGUGAAAUGCGCAGAUAUCAGGAGGAACACCGGUGGCGAAGGCGGGUCUCUGGGCCGAUACUGACGCUGAGGAGCGAAAGCGUGGGGAGCGAACAGG
rnacentral:rRNA from 1 species